rnacentral:rRNA from 1 species
GACGUAGGGCGCGAGCGUUUGUCCGGAUUUAUUGGGCGUAAAGCGCACGUAGGCGGCUUAGCAAGUCGGAAGUGAAAGCCCUUGGCUCAACCAAGGAAGUGCUUUCGAAACUGCUGAGCUUGAGUAGUUAAGAGGAUCGCGGAAUUCCCGGUGUAGAGGUGAAAUUCGUAGAUAUCGGGAGGAACACCAGUGGCGAAGGCGGCGAUCUGGGAACAUACUGACGCUGAGGUGCGAAAGCGUGGGGAGCAAACAGG